AUUGAACGCUGGCGGCAGGCCUAACACAUGCAAGUCGAGCGAGCGGCGGACGGGUGAGUAAUGUAUGGGGACUGCCCGAUCGAGGGGGCUAACUACUGGAAAAGGUGGCUAAUACCGCAUACUACCGGCUAACCCAUAUGGGAUUAGCUAGUAGGUGGGGUAAAGGCUCACCUAGGCGACGAUACAUAGCUGGACUGAGCGGAGGAUCAGCAACACUGGGACUUGGACACGGCCCAGAAUCCUACGGAGGCAGCAGUGGGGAAUAUUGCACAAGGGGAGCAAGCCUGAGGCAGCCAGGCCGAGUGUAUGAAGAAGGCCUUAGGGUUGAAAAGUACUGUCAGAGGGGAGGCGUUACCCACAGAGAAAGCACCGGCUAACUCCGUGCCAGCAGCCGCGGUAAUUC
rnacentral:rRNA from 1 species